UGGGGAAUUUUGGACAAUGGACGCAAGUCUGAUCCAGCAAUACCGCGUGCAGGACGAAGGCCUUCGGGUUGUAAACUGCUUUUGUACGGAACGAAAAGCCUUCUUCUAAUACAGGAGGGUCAUGACGGUACCGUAAGAAUAAGCACCGGCUAACUACGUGCCAGCAGCCGCGGUAAUACGUAGGGUGCAAGCGUUAAUCGGAAUUACUGGGCGUAAAGCGUGCGCAGGCGGUUGUGUAAGACAGGUGUGAAAUCCCCGAGCUUAACUUGGGAAUUGCACUUGUGACUGCACGGCUAGAGUGCGGCAGAGGGGGAUGGAAUUCCGCGUGUAGCAGUGAAAUGCGUAGAUAUGCGGAGGAACACCGAUGGCGAAGGCAAUCCCCUGGGCCUGCACUGACGCUCAUGCACGAAAGCGUGGGGAGCAAACA
rnacentral:rRNA from 1 species